UCUAUAUUUUCUUCUAAAAUGCAGUGGAGCAUUAGAGUAAAAAGGACCAGUACAUGAAAAAUGACUAUAUGUGUCUCAAAAUAUACUUUAAAAAGCUUUUUUGAGCUCUGAAAUGAAGCAGAGGUAGUUUUCAGAUUAAUCAAAUCACAAAGCAGGUUUUGUUCAGAAUUUUAAAAAAAUACACAUCUUUAAAGGUUCUUUGAAGAAACUACAAAGAAGAGUGACUUUUCCCAAAAAACCCCAUAAACAAACAGAUCCCAGCUCUGUUUCAAACCCCCUUUUCCUCGACUGACUGGGGCCGUCUCAAGCAUUUGAACAGUCAAGCAGUCUGUCAUUCUUACAAAGACAAACUCGUCCUCCGGCUGACAGUUAAUGGGUUUGGCCCACUGAUUAAUUGUGAUAAAUGGGAGCUCAUUCAUAACCCAUUGUGCAGUUGGCCCCUGUGUGCUGUCAGUGGUGCUGGAUACAAAGACAGCAGUAGAAAGUUGAGUCACUGUUUUUACAGUGGAAAGAGGCAAACUACUGCCCCCCAUUGGCCUCAGGUGCUCACUGAGAACACUGCAAGGGCUUUGGCAUGAUAGAUGAAGCGUUUUCUGACUGCAGUUUUCCAAAAAGUAAAAUUUAGUACAUGAUUGUGAGACUUUCAAGACAGAUAAACAGGAAGUCAGAGGCCUAAAAUGCAAACACACAGGCCCUGAUUAAGAAUAAGAUAUUUAUCUUCUGUGUCAAUUCUUGUGGUAAUAUGAAAAACACAUGAAAAGUGUAGCUGCAAGCGGCGAUCAGGGGGUUUAAGCCCAUAUGGGAAUGUUAAUAAUUUAAGGCUGUCAGGGGUCAAGAGCUACAUGGGAAUGCUGGGAAUGCUGAGAGCAGAGUUUCUGGCAAUCGUAGACAUAAUGACAUGGAAACUAUCCACAAAAGAAAGGUUGCCAUUGUUAUUAUUAUUAUUGAUAUGUUUAUCCUAUUUCACAUCAUUGUUGUGAUGGAUCCGGUGAUACCUUCUUGUUUUAGGAGUAAAUCCUGUAUGUGAUGUAUUUCAGUAGGCGAGCUUUGCGUGCAUGACAUGUUUGUCCAGGAGUGUAUAAAUCUACUUUGAGUUAUUUUAAGACACACCCAAACUCACAGGCCAGUAGUGCACCAAGACAUUUGACUCUAGAUUUAGACAGUGUGUUUUUAUUGUAUGUUAAUGCCAAAGUAGUAGUUUAAAAAAAAACACAAAGGCAGCAAGAUAGUCAUUGUUAAAGGGAUCUCAUUUCUUUCUUCUUCUUUUUUUUUUUAAACUUUUAUACUCUCAGUACUUUUUCUUAAAAAAUAUUAAUCUGAGGAUAAAACCAUCUGUGGUUUCAUGGCUAAAUGUCAGUUCUUUUUUGCUUGGACUAACGGUUAAAGUCCAUUUUCUCCGAGCUGCAGACAUUGAUGUGGUUGCACGGUACAUUUCUCAAAGUGUUUGGUGUUGAUUGAUUAAAAAGUGAAACCGUGUCACAGGAAAUUUAAUGUCUCGCCACAUUAAAAGUCCAUCACUGACAGAAGCUGAUGUCAGCUUUGGGCAGAAACUAGCCAAGUUUGACAGGAACUUGGCUAGUUUCUGUCACUGACCUGUGACUGUCUGCUAUUUUGUUGGUAAAAACCAUCCAUUUUUGCUGACUUUUUUUUAACCCCUUUGCCUUCAGAAGUGCAGUAAUUAAUCACAGAUAGCACAGAUUCAACAAGGUGCUGGAAACAUUCAUCAGAGACUUUCAUCCAUAUUGAGACGGUGUUAUCACACAGUUGCUGCAGGUGUUUUGGAUGCACAUUGAUGAUGUCAGUCUCCUGUUCAGCCACAUUCCAAAGGUGCUGUAUUGAACGAGAUCUGGUGACUGCGGAGGCCAUUUGAAUACCGUGAACUCACUGUCGUGUUCAAGAAAUCAGUUUGAGACUAUCUGAGUUUUGUGGCAUCCUGUGUUAUCCUGCUGGAAGGAGCUAACAGAAGAUGGAAUAAAGGGAUGGACAUGGGCAGAAGCAACAGUCAGCAGAAUGAAGAAAACAAGCAGAUUCCAAACAGAAUUGUCCCAUCUGGCCAGUUGGAUUUGAACCCAGGGCUUUUUUGCUGUGAUGUGAUUGUACUAACCACCAGAUGUAUCCUUUUUAAUAUAAAUAAAGAGUACACAAUGCAUUUUUAUUUAAUAAAAUAGUGUCAGUGUAUCUGAAUAUUCAGUGUGUAUCUCAUCUCCUACAUUGACACAUUGGCUAGUGAUCAGAGUUUGGCUCUGAUCACUAGCCAUCUCUGGCCAUCACAGGUCAGCGCUAACUUUUAUUUACUUCUGCCUGUGUAAAUAAGCACAAUAGAAACGCAAUUGCCAGCAUUGCUUUAUUUAUCUUUAGAAGUUUUCCCAGUGAAUAAUUUGAGAUAACACAUAUGCAAGCUUUUCCUCACCGAACAUGGAGACCUCCUAUUAAAAAGACCUCACUGGUAUGAUGAACAAUGGGUAUCUUCUGUUGGUAAGCGCCAUUAAGUGGUUGCAUGAGGCCAAAUCAAUCAACAAUUUUCCAAAAGACAGCACUCUUAAAAGACUAUAUAUAAAUGAUAUGUGGAGCAAAGCAGUAAGUUUGGUGACAUAGCUCCAGAGCCAAAAAGCCUGUGCAGGAAUAUGGAGGUCAGUGGAGUGGCCAACGCUAUUUUGCACUUUAAUGCAGCGGGCUGUUUUGUUUGGGGUUUUUUUAUACCUAUUUUAAACCGACUGUCAGCAUUACUUCCUUUAGCACAGAUCAUUGCAUUAAUCUUGCUAACUCUUGCUAAGUGCUUAUUUUAAUCCAAACCAUUACCAUCACCCAAACCCCAUCGAGUUCUUUCCAUUUCAGACCUCAUCAUAGGAUUUUCAUCAUAUCAAAGGCUUAUCUUUUUAUUUUUAACAUGGGAAAUAUAUGUGACCGAAUGCAUGUUUACCUCUGGCAUAACUCCUGCUGCUGGUAUCUGCUAUUUUUAGAUUGGUUAGCUCAUUCGAGAGCAGCAGUAACAAAACUGUAUUCUCCUUUCCUUCUUUUCUUAAAUCUCUUUCAAGAAAGUCACUCAGGCCCACAUAACUUCCCUUAUACACACAUCCCUGCGCACACACACACACACACAUAUAUACAGCACCAUGCAGCUCGACAAGAUCUGAGGCCAGAUAUUUGAUUUACACCAGCAAGGUCAAAGAGAAUGCAUUAGGACCUUUUGCCAGAGAGGCGCAGGGAACAGGCAAGAGUUAUAAAGUGGUCAGAUGGAUGCUGACACAUGGCCCUUCAUAACAAUCAGUAGAAGAGUUAGUUGCACUGGCCCUGACCUCCUCCUCACUAGCACUGUGAUCUAUACUCUCCAGCCCCCAGCUCCUAUACACCACACCCUGCCAAACAUACCAACUCCCAGGUCCUGCCUGCAAGAAUCUGACUAAAACUUAAUGUUAAUGUUCUUAGUCUUCACAUUUUUUUUUUCAUAGUGAAUUUUUAGCACUUUUUGCAAGCUAAAGGUGUUUUCUCUACUUCUAAUAAUUGCUGUCAACUAACACUGGUCGAUAUACCGGACACAUUCAAAGUCACAGCUCUUUUAAUAUGUGCUAUAACUUGGCUGUGAAGAGCCAAGGCUGAGUAACUCCCUUUUAAAUGUGUUAUCUGAAGGUCUUCGGGGUUUUUAUGUCUGUCCUUACAGCUCUUUAUCUUUGUUUGAGCUUAUUACAUAGUGAAAGGAUCCUUUCGGUCCAUAAAAUAGUAAAAAAAAAUACCUUUGUUUGGUCAGAUAAAGUCUUUGCAAACUAUCAUAUAUUAAGACAGUCACACAUUUUUUAAGUUUAAUGUUUACACAUGUACAAAAUAUUACAUAGAUUUCUGUUUUUGUGAUAUGAAGCCUGUUUGCUUUUUGGAAAGAUACAUACAUGCAACAUAGCAUUUAGAUUAUGUGCGAUAAAAAAAAUCUAAUUGUGAUUUUAGGAACGUGCAAAUUAAAAGACAAACUCUUUGUUUAUUGUGUUUUUGUUUCUCCAUCUUUUCUCCCACUUCCCUCAAUAGCCCCCAUACCCAAUCAGAGUGAUUGAGUGUUAUUGGUAUUUUGAUUGAUGCUUUAAAAAUCACUUUGCCAACAAUAUUAUAAUGGCACAUAUAUUAUAAUAUGAUCUAUUUAUCACAACUUAUCACAACUAUCUUAGCUUUAGGGUUGUGGCGAUAAUUUCUCAAUCACCCAGUUAACUCUAAUGCAAUCUGGAAAUACUGAGUGAUGUCCAGAGGGAGAAAACUUAAACCAAACAAUUUGAAAAUAGAAAAUUAAUCUCUACAUGGGCGAAAACGCUAAGUUUAAAGCAUAAAAUGAUGAACAAAACAAGAAUAAUAGUUAAUAGUGCUCGUAGAAACCAGUGCAAAGUCGAAAUGUAUAUUUCAUCCAGCUGCUGCAUUCUCCAUUUUCAUCUUGUUCUUUCUCAAUAUUUGGACUAAAAUAUAUGAAAAUUGUGAUGCUGCAAUAAGUGCUACAAAAACAAACUUGCACUAAAUAAAGCAUCAAUUAUGUACUCCUCAGGUAUGUUAAGAAGUGGCUGAUGUUUAAUGUUUUACUGCUGUUUAAUUGUGUCAUUAUAUUGCAGCCUUCUUGAUUUCUUCCUCUUCUUCUUGCAGUGAUUUAUGGUAGCUGAUUUGAGAGUUGCCUCCAGCAGCUCUCCAACUUGCUGAAGCAACUUCUAAAAUUUGCGCAAAGCAAUUAAGUACAUAAUCUGCUUUUCAUUUGCAGUUUUUUCUUUAAAUCUGCCCUAAAUUCUGGUGGAAAACCAGCUCGUAAUUCACUAACGGUUCAAUUAUAUACAAAAAUUUAAAUAAAAGAAUUAGUGGAUGCUCUGCAGAACGUAAUAACCUGGUCUAUGACAGCAGUCUCCUUCAUGACCUCUCUCCUAUCUAGGCCUCUCUCCCAAUGUUUACAUCACUUUUUUAUAAGUCUGGGAUGACAUUCACAGACCUACUACAGCCCAAAUUCUGCACAUACAUGCACACAUACACUUAGGCAGUUGUGUCUGGACAGCGUCAGGCAACACUUCAAAGUGCAGGAUCCCCCUUUUUACAAGCCAUAUUAGGCUCACAUCAAAGCGUGCUCCGCACUUCAGACCAGAGUUUUCUGGUCAGACGAACAUCUCUGCUGCACAGUGCAGUGAUGAAGCACUGCAGUGCAGCGCGUCACAUCUGACCCGAAAUCAGACGUGCACGCAGAUAAUACGGCACGGACUCAAACCAACGUACAUAUACAUAUACUUUGGCAUUUGAGCUAUUGCUAUUGUUUUAUGAGCUUUAGCUGUGUAAAACAUUAACAACUGAAGGAAUCUAAGUUUUAAUGUCGUGCUUGUUGGGAGUGUGUUUGCUCACGGCAUCAGUUACCAUGACAAGACUAGUGACAGGGCGAAACCGUAUGAAAUGGCAAAUUCCUUUCAUUAAUUUAGAUUUCAGUGCUUUUUUCUAUGUGUAUAGUGUGCCAGAAAACCAUGAAGUAAAUUCAGAGCAAUCUUCUUUUCCCUCCUCCUCCUCCUGUCGGUAAUCUCCUGAUGAAAUGCACUUCAAAGUGUCACGUAAAGCUUUUGCUUAGCCGUUGUUGCUUUAGUGUGUUUCACGCUUGGAUUCUCAUGCAGUGCAUGGUCCUGGUGAAACGCUGGAUGCGUCAUUAGAGAGAAUGCCGUUGUCAGAGCUUUGAGAAACGUGCUUGCAGCCUACAUUAGGUCAGUCCAACUGUAGUCACCAAAUAAAUAAUGAGGGUCAUUACGUAAAAUAAUGUUGACAAAGGGUGACUAUCUGUCUUUUUGACAACAGCCGAGUCCUUUGAUAAACAUUGCAGCACCCAUGACUUCUUACAGAUACUGUAGGCUUUGUUCAAAAAAGAUUUUUCCCCACUUGAGCAUCGGUCUCAUUUCAGGUAAAAGCUGAUCAUGACUUUAAGUGUUGUAAAUGGUUGAAUAGCAAGGCCACUGUGCAAGAGUUUAUUCAGUUGUUUUUGCCUUUACUGUACAGGCAUUCGUGUCAUUUGCCCAGUUUUAACUUCUCUUCCCUGAAUUUUCAUAUUUGUCACUAAAUCUUCUUGUAGACGUCUCCCUUCAACUGCUAUAUGCUUUGUUUUGGACUAAGGCAUAUUAUAAAGAGUGCAUCAGUGGAUAUUUUCACUUGGCACGAAAUGACAGUGAACUUUCUCUAAAGUAAAAGAUGUCAAACAGCAUUUUUCUUUUUUGCUUUUCACUCACCACUCCUCGCCCCACCAAACAGAACAUGUCGUCCACCUAUUCAUCUACAUUUGUUUACUCUUUGUUUCAGACCCAGCUUGUUUUUCCAAUGAACGCAUUUUAAAGGGAAACUCCCUUCCAAGAAGUUUACUUUGUGCAACCGUACCACCAGGCUUGAUGCAAAAGUCCCAUAAUUCAUUCGUUCCUCUCCGUCACAAGGUAGCUGCCACUUACCCACUCACCCCACCCCUCCUCUACCUCUGCACUUGUCUCUGCACAGGUCACCAUCCGCAGGCAAGACACUUUCGUACUGUUGUGUACUCCUUGUUUAUGAUGAAGAAAAUGUUCCCAGCAUGCAACAUAACAGAUAUAAAUACUAAUAAAUACUCCUACUACUUCUAAUCAAAGUGCUAUCUCAGUAACGAGCUUGUUUUUUUUUUUUUUUAUUACUACAGAGUAUUGCAAUUGUUCUGCCAUUUUUCAGCAGUUUUUCUUAAAAUAUCUACUUUACAGAUCAAUAUUUUUGCAAAUUACUGCACUGGCAAAAAUUUAACUAUUGAGUGGUGUUUGAAUUAUGCUAUUUGACAAUACAACCAAUUAGGUGCAAAGUCAUCUAUGGCAUUGAGUUCAAAUUCUGAGACCGGGAAUGGAGCACAUUAACAUCAAAGUAAAAGUUGUGCCUUUUGAAACGUGUUGGCUGCAGCAGAAAAGCACAGUUUUUCCUUUGAAGAUGAACAUUUUCUGUCUUCCAUGCAAACUAGGACACCUCUUUGUGACCACUUUUACCCACAGACUGGCAGCAACAGUUCAAAAACUGGUUGGCAAACACGCAUUAUUCCCUCCCAGUGGUUGACAGAUGGUUGCCGACUGGUAUGUAUUUUGCUGUCAGGGAAGAGCACUGACACUGAUUGAAAGGGGGGCAAUAGGGGGGCAAAAUAUUCACAAAGGCAUUAUCCUUUUACAUCCUUCAAGGGGAAAAAACUCCCUAACAUUGUUCAGUACAACUCUGGCCUUGUAUUAAAGAGUAAGCAAAUGUUUUUGAUGCAGGGAACACAAAAACUCCCCAUUUUUACAUUUACGUGCUUUCUUCUACCUCUUCUUCUUCUUCUUUGUCUGUGUGUUCAGAAUGAGUCACUCCAAGGUGUUUUCAGUGCAGACCAGGCAGAAACUCCUAUUCAUCAAACAGGUAUCUGGAUCCGGGUUUUUGAGGCAGAUCUAAGCAAAGAUGCCCAGACCUCCCACUCCCCAGCCAUUUCCUCCAGCACCAAGAUACUAACUGGAAAACAUCACCUAGGAGGCAGCAAAAUGCCUACUUCACCCCUGGUUUACACAAGCAGCUGCUGACAGUGGAUUGCUUCCUCCACGCUAAAAUGCAGAUCAGAUAAGGACAACAGUCCCGCUCUCACUAAGACCUUCGAAAACACUAACUCACAAAUCCAUCCUCUCAGACAUUGACAACAGUGGGAAGUGGCGGAGUUGCACAACAAUCUGCCAUCUCAUCAUCUUUAAUGCAUGAUGUGCUGCUACAACGUGGCAGUAUCCCAUCAGUAAGCAGCGAUGAUACAAACUGAUUUGGUAACGUUGUGUUCAAGGAAGUUAAGCAAAUAAGUUUGUUAAUGAUGAGUUCCCUUUUUAGAAAUAAAAUGAGUUACAGUUACAAAAUACAUGAUUGAUGUGUUUUUGUGUGUUUGUGUCUAAAUAAUCCACAGUAAUAGAUGCAUCAGUGCUCCUUACUCUUGGACUCUUCCAUUUGAGUAGCUUUGUAUGAUACAUGAUUUCAAAUAAUCCUUAUUAUUCCUGCCAUCCCCUCAACGCAUCGUCUGUAUGAAAUGAUCACUUAUCAUAUCCUCUACCUCUACCAACAUUCUUCUGAUUGGCUGCCCCUAACGAAUAAAGGUUUGAACAGCAGGUGAGUGGAGCUGCUGUGGUUGUAGCCAGAGCUGUGUGCUUGGGGUAACUAUUUUAAUGCUGUUCUUUGUAUGUCUGUCAUUGAUGACACAUGGCAUUGUGUCAACAAAUACAGUUUCACAUGACUCUGUGCAGUUGCAGAGCUGUGAAAAAGUAUUUGCCCCGGAUCUUACGUAUUUCAGAUCAUCGAACAAAUGUUUUCACCCUUUCUUACCACCUGACAUCUUAUCCUCUUAAUUUUGAUGAACCUCAACUGUUGUACCUAGCCUGGAUUUAUACAUAUAGCUGGCAAUGGCUAAUCCUGAGUUCCCCUAACUAUGACUGUCUAAUUUCACAUAACUUUAUAGCUUGUCAAAGAAGGCCAGCACACUAUAAUAUGUUUUCACACCACUUUACAAUUGUUCUUGUUGUUGACUUUAUGUCAUUUUACCAAAUAAAGUCUCAAAUAAUCAUAAAUAGCCCACAGCAAACUAGUUCAUUAAAGGCUAAUUGUUAUUUACCUACUUAACUGACCUACUUAUUAUAAGGCCUAAAUAUGUUUUGCAGCUCCAAAAAGAUAUUUUGACUCUUUUGAUAGUAAAGGUUGGCAAUCUGUGCUCUAACAUUAGUUUAAAAUUUUUUAUUGAUAAAAUUCAAUGAACAACAAUUAAAAUUUCCUUCCUCAGCUGUACAUUAUGUUUGUGUCUUAAAAGCAGAUAUUGUGCAUUUGAAAGCACUGGGCUAAAUGAGUAAACAUGAUAAAAAAAUUUCUGCUUGACAUCAGUAAUCAUGUCAUCAGCGUCAGUAACAUUGACUCUAGAUAGUGAAACAAGUCACUUACAGACCGUUAAACACAGAUCAUAUCUUCAAGAUUGACACACUAGCUUUAAGGCCUUAAAUACUCAUUAAAAGAAACAUAUUUUACUUUAUUGCACCGCACAGACAUGCAGAUUUUCUAACACACACUUGUCCCAAACGAUGAGGCAUAACUUGAGCUCCUGUCUAAGUUUUUAGGCAGCGCACAAGCCGGACGCCCCGGAGCCAUGCCUCCCACUGACGCCAAACAUCAUACUUACAUGUCACAUGUGUCAGUUUCAUUUUAACACCUUGGGCAGGUUAUGGGUGGAAAAACAGCAGUCCGACUGACAGACGGACCAGUUUGACCUGACUUUCACAGCAAAAGCUGUGACGCAUGAGCAAAAUAUUGAGGUAAUGUCAACCCGGGCCUCUGGGAUUUGUUAACUUAGUCUGUGUACAUUAUUUAACCAUGUAGUAUAAUUGUACACACAUAUGAAGACAAAUAGUACAAUUAGAGCUAUCAAUCGUAAAACUUUUCAUAGAUUUUAUUAUCUUUAUUUUCUAAUUAGACUAGAAGACUUUUUUUGUGUGUCAACCAUUUUUCAUUGAUAACAAAUGUAACAUAAUGUAUCGUUUUAUUGCCAAGAUAAAUCACUUUUUCAGUCAAAAGACAAUUAUUUAACAAGGGAUCUGAGGACACACACAGACACACGCACGCACACAAACCCCAUUUGUUUUUUAGAUGUUUAGUAAAACUUUUUACUCAUUAUGUUGCAUUUCAUUUCCACAGUGACAUAGUUGUUUUUGAAAUGUUAUGAUUUUUAAUGCCCAAUUGUAAACAUAAUAAAAUACUACACCAUAAAAAUGUAGAUGUGUGUAAGUACACCAUAACAAAUGUCCCUGUUAAAUGACAGUAAAACACUGACAAUGAAAAGUAGUGUUGCCAUCCUUUAACUUUUAUAGCCACAGUAAAAAUACUGUAAUGUGUUAUAAAAAGUGUAACCUUUAGCAUAUAAUACUAUAAGCUGUUUGGUUGUUAUUACACUGUUAUUCUUAUUUUAUUGUUCUAUGGUAAUCUCCAUAAACAGUUCAUAAUAGUAAAACAUA